AGUGAACGCUGGCGGUAGGCCUAACACAUGCAAGUCGAACGGCAGCACAGGAGAGCUUGCUCUCUGGGUGGCGAGUGGCGGACGGGUGAGGAAUACAUCGGAAUCUACUCUGUCGUGGGGGAUAACGUAGGGAAACUUACGCUAAUACCGCAUACGACCUACGGGUGAAAGCAGGGGACCUUCGGGCCUUGCGCGAUUGAAUGAGCCGAUGUCGGGUUAGCUAGUCGGCGGGGUAAAGGCCCACCAAGGCGACGAUCCGUAGCUGGUCUGAGAGGAUGAUCAGCCACACUGGAACUGAGACACGGUCCAGACUCCUACGGGAGGCAGCAGUGGGGAAUAUUGGACAAUGGGCGCAAGCCUGAUCCAGCCAUACCGCGUGGGUGAAGAAGGCCUUCGGGUUGUAAGGCCCUUUUGUUGGGAAAGAAAUCCAGCUGGCUAAUACCCGGUUGGGAUGACGGUACCCAAAGAAUAAGCACCGGCUAACUUCGUGCCAGCCGCCGCAGUAA
rnacentral:rRNA from 1 species